CCUACGGGAGGCAGCAGUAGGGAAUCUUCCGCAAUGGACGAAAGUCUGACGGAGCAACGCCGCGUGAACGAUGAAGGCCUUCGGGUCGUAAAGUUCUGUUGUUAGGGAAGAACAAGUGCUAGUUAAAUAAGCUGGCACCUUGACGGUACCUAACCAGAAAGCCACGGCUAACUACGUGCCAGCAGCCGCGGUAAUACGUAGGUGGCAAGCGUUGUCCGGAAUUAUUGGGCGUAAAGCGCGCGCAGGCGGUUUCUUAAGUCUGAUGUGAAAGCCCCCGGCUCAACCGGGGAGGGUCAUUGGAAACUGGGAAACUUGAGUGCAGAAGAGGAAAGUGGAAUUCCAAGUGUAGCGGUGAAAUGCGUAGAGAUUUGGAGGAACACCAGUGGCGAAGGCGACUUUCUGGUCUGUAACUGACGCUGAGGCGCGAAAGCGUGGGGAGCAAACAGGAUUAGAUACCCUGGUAGUCCACGCUGUAAACGAUGAGUGCUAAGUGUUAGAGGGUUUCCGCCCUUUAGUGCUGAAGUUAACGCAUUAAGCACUCCGCCUGGGGAUACGGUCGCAAGACUGAAACUUAAAGAUAUGACGNGNGAGNGCGACGAGCACAGGAGGUAGAG
rnacentral:rRNA from 1 species